UACGGAGGGUGCGAGCGUUAUCCGGAUUUACUGGGUUUAAAGGGUGCGUAGGUGGAUAAGUAAGUCAGUGGUGAAAUCUCCGGGCUUAACCCGGAAACUGCCAUUGAUACUAUUUGUCUUGAAUACUUUGGAGGUAAGCGGAAUAUGUCAUGUAGCGGUGAAAUGCUUAGAUAUGACAUAGAACACCAAUGGCGAAGGCAGCUUACUGGACUGUGAUUGACGCUGAGGCACGAAAGCGUGGGGAUCAAACAGG
rnacentral:rRNA from 1 species